rnacentral:rRNA from 1 species
GAUGAACGCUGGCGGCGUGCCUAAUACAUGCAAGUCGAGCGAACGGACGAGAAGCUUGCUUCUCUGAUGUUAGCGGCGGACGGGUGAGUAACACGUGGAUAACCUACCUAUAAGACUGGGAUAACUUCGGGAAACCGGAGCUAAUACCGGAUAAUAUUUUGAACCGCAUGGUUCAAAAGUGAAAGACGGUCUUGCUGUCACUUAUAGAUGGAUCCGCGCUGCAUUAGCUAGUUGGUAAGGUAACGGCUUACCAAGGCAACGAUGCAUAGCCGACCUGAGAGGGUGAUCGGCCACACUGGAACUGAGACACGGUCCAGACUCCUACGGGAGGCAGCAGUAGGGAAUCUUCCGCAAUGGGCGAAAGCCUGACGGAGCAACGCCGCGUGAGUGAUGAAGGUCUUCGGAUCGUAAAACUCUGUUAUUAGGGAAGAACAUAUGUGUAAGUAACUGUGCACAUCUUGACGGUACCUAAUCAGAAAGCCACGGCUAACUACGUGCCAGCAGCCGCGGUAAUACGUAGGUGGCAAGCGUUAUCCGGAAUUAUUGGGCGUAAAGCGCGCGUAGGCGGUUUUUUAAGUCCGAUGUGAAAGCCCACGGCUCAACCGUGGAGGGUCAUUGGAAACUGGAAAACUUGAGUGCAGAAGAGGGAAGUGGAAUUCCAUGUGUAGCGGUGAAAUGCGCAGAGAUAUGGAGGAACACCAGUGGCGAAGGCGACUUUCUGGUCUGUAACUGACGCUGAUGUGCGAAAGCGUGGGGAUCAAACAGGAUUAGAUACCCUGGUAGUCCACGCCGUAAACGAUGAGUGCUAAGUGUUAGGGGGUUUCCGCCCCUUAGUGCUGCAGCUAACGCAUUAAGCACUCCGCCUGGGGAGUACGACCGCAAGGUUGAAACUCAAAGGAAUUGACGGGGACCCGCACAAGCGGUGGAGCAUGUGGUUUAAUUCGAAGCAACGCGAAGAACCUUACCAAAUCUUGACAUCCUUUGACAACUCUAGAGAUAGAGCUUUCCCCUUCGGGGGACAAAGUGACAGGUGGUGCAUGGUUGUCGUCAGCUCGUGUCGUGAGAUGUUGGGUUAAGUCCCGCAACGAGCGCAACCCUUAAGCUUAGUUGCCAUCAUUAAGUUGGGCACUCUAAGUUGACUGCCGGUGACAAACCGGAGGAAGGUGGGGAUGACGUCAAAUCAUCAUGCCCCUUAUGAUUUGGGCUACACACGUGCUACAAUGGACAAUACAAAGGGCAGCGAAACCGCGAGGUCAAGCAAAUCCCAUAAAGUUGUUCUCAGUUCGGAUUGUAGUCUGCAACUCGACUACAUGAAGCUGGAAUCGCUAGUAAUCGUAGAUCAGCAUGCUACGGUGAAUACGUUCCCGGGUCU